GCAGUGGUGUCUCAGUGGUUAAAGGCUCUGGGUUACUGAUCAGAACGUCAGGAGUUCAAGCCCCCGGCACUGCC